rnacentral:rRNA from 1 species
AUUGAACGCUGGCGGCAUGCCUUACACAUGCAAGUCGAACGGUAACAGGUUAAGCUGACGAGUGGCGAACGGGUGAGUAAUGUAUCGGAACGUGCCCAGUCGUGGGGGAUAACUGCUCGAAAGAGCAGCUAAUACCGCAUACGACCUGAGGGUGAAAGCGGGGGAUCGCAAGACCUCGCGCGAUUGGAGCGGCCGAUAUCAGAUUAGGUAGUUGGUGAGGUCAAGGCUCACCAAGCCGACGAUCUGUAGCUGGUCUGAGAGGACGACCAGCCACACUGGGACUGAGACACGGCCCAGACUCCUACGGGAGGCAGCAGUGGGGAAUUUUGGACAAUGGGCGCAAGCCUGAUCCAGCCAUGCCGCGUGCGGGAAGAAGGCCUUCGGGUUGUAAACCGCUUUUGUCAGGGAAGAAAAGGUUCUGGCUAAUACCUGGGACUCAUGACGGUACCUGAAGAAUAAGCACCGGCUAACUACGUG